UUUAUGAUGUUGUGUUUGUACUUAAAUUGUUACUAUUUACAAAAGCAUAUACUCAGAAAGAUUAUAUGUUUGACAUUCAAUUUGAUAUAGAAAGGGUAACUUGUGUAGCUGUGCAAUGAGCAAUCUGUAUUGACUAAAUCUUCUUGUUCAGCCAAUUUAUAUAUAUAUGCUAUCUUAGGUAACACUUAUGUGAAAGACUAUAAGAGAAGAGCAAUAUGUACAUAACCAGACCUGUGUCUCACUUCAGAAGUCAUCCGGAGUCUCUUUCAUUGCCUCCUGAAGGUCCAAAUUCAGGUUAUUUAGUCAUCCAAGAUAUAGAGCCUGAAGAGAUUGUUAGUUGCUUCGGAUUGAGUAAAGAUAAGGGCGAUAUUCAUCUGCCUUUCCCUCAGAACAUCAAAUUGACUACUGCAUAUUAUACAGGCGAAGAUACUUUUUACGACAAUCUUGCCUUUUUUCCUGUUCUCAAUCAACCAUUGUCCAGAAACUUGUACUAUGUGAUAGAAUCACAUAAAAAGCGUAAAGGGAAGGCAUAUGCUUGUUCCAAGGAAGAAGAUGUGACUACUUGUUGUUUUUGCAGUCAGGUUCAUGAUGUAGAGCCAAGAACAUUAGAUCCUGAUGACAUAUAUCAGCAAUUUGAAAUUGUUGAUGAUCACCACGAGGGUAGUUUCUAUGCCAAAUCCGUGGCUCAUAAUGGUAUCCCUCCAUACUUAUUGAGAAAGGAAGGAUGGACUGUUCAAUAUGAAACUUCUAAAGAAUAUGUAAUAGGUGAGGCUUUCCAAUACGAGUUCACAAGCCGUUGUGGUAGGAAAAUGGUACUGUCCUUUCAUGUUUAUCAAAGAUGGUAUGUGGACGCCAAGUGAUCAGAUGACAAAUUCAAUAAUUUAUGAGAUGAUACUUGAGCAAAGAUGGGAACAGAUAUUUGAGCGCGACAAUGUUGAUCAUGGGAAUGUGGUAAUGGUUGAUGCAGUAGUUCUAAGAGAAGUUGUGUCGGUUGGAGGCAGGGAGGCUGUGUGGUAUGAGAAGAAUGCGGUUGACUAUAAAACUAUAUGGUUUGCGAGUUUGGGGAGAGAAGAGGUGAGUGUAGGAUUGAGGAUUGAGAUAUUCGAGAGAAUGAAAUGGGAGGAAGAAAGAGUUGGAUGGGUUGGUAAUGAAGAAAGGGUGGUGAGAGUGAAUAGAGUGGUGGAGUUUGCAGGAGGUGCUCAAGGCUGGAGGAAGCUGAGAUGCUAUGUCUUGGUGGAGAGGUUUGUGCUAAAGAGAAUGGAUGGAAGUUUGGUUAUGACUUACGAUUUUAAGCACACUCAUCAACUCAACUGCAUGUGGGACUAAAAACUAUGUGUGUUUCCCUAUGUUUGAUUUAUCUCCCUGAGUUAUCAGUUAUCCCCAUAUCUACAAACAAAUUCAUAUUUUAUUUUGCUAAUUGAUUACACACGAACAUGCCAGGAGAACUCCCGCAAGAGAGACAAGAGCUCAACCACCGCACCAACCUUUGUUGGCAACAAAGCAAAGCCAUAUUUUAUUCACUAUUUUAUUUCUUUUUCUUUUUGCCUAUGUAAAAAUGGUGUAAAAUGACUGUAUGUUUUUUGUUAUCAAGGGUCCUGGAGUUUGAAUUUUUAUAAUCAUUUUCAGAUAGUGGAGGAUAUGAAGUUUUCGACUAA